rnacentral:rRNA from 1 species
GACGAACGCUGGCGGCGUGCUUAACACAUGCAAGUCGAACGGGAUCCGGGCUUUCGGGUUUGGUGAGAGUGGCGAACGGGUGAGUAACACGUGAGUAACCUGCCCCCUUCUUUGGGAUAACGUCGGGAAAUCGGCGCUAAUACUGGAUAUUCUUGCUGCAUCGCAUGGUGUGGUUUGGAAAGGGUUUCUGGUGGGGGAUGGGCUCGCGGCCUAUCAGCUUGUUGGUGGGGUGAUGGCCUACCAAGGCUUUGACGGGUAGCCGGCCUGAGAGGGUGUCCGGCCACACUGGGACUGAGACACGGCCCAGACUCCUACGGGAGGCAGCAGUGGGGAAUAUUGCACAGUGGGCGCAAGCCUGAUGCAGCGACGCCGCGUGAGGGAUGACGGCCUUCGGGUUGUAAACCUCUUUCAGUAUGGAACAAGGAUCCUUCUUGUGGGGGGUUUGAGGGUACGUGCAGAAGAAGCGCCGGCUAACUACGUG